rnacentral:rRNA from 1 species
CGCGGCCUAUCAGCUUGUUGGUGAGGUAAUGGCUCGCCAAGGCGAGGACGGGUAGCCGGCCUGAGAGGGCGACCGGCCACACUGGGACUGAGACACGGCCCAGACUCCUACGGGAGGCAGCAGUGGGGAAUAUUGCACAAUGGGCGGAAGCCUGAUGCAGCGACGCCGCGUGAGGGAUGACGGCCUUCGGGUUGUAAACCUCUUUCAGCAGGGACGAAGCGUAAGUGACGGUACCUGCAGAAGAAGCGCCGGCCAACUACGUGCCAGCAGCCGCGGUAAGACGUAGGGCGCGAGCGUUGUCCGGAUUUAUUGGGCGUAAAGAGCUCGUAGGCGGCUUGUCGCGUCGAAUGUGAAAACUUGGGGCUCAACUCCAAGCUUGCAUUCGAUACGGGCAGGCUAGAGUUCGGUAGGGGAGACUGGAAUUCCUGGUGUAGCGGUGAAAUGCGCAGAUAUCAGGAGGAACACCGGUGGCGAAGGCGGGUCUCUGGGCCGAUACUGACGCUGAGGAGCGAAAGCGUGGGGAGCGAACAGGAUUAGAUACCCUGGUAGUCCACGCUGUAAACGUUGGGCGCUAGGUGUGGGGGGCCUCUCCGGUUCCCUGUGCCGCAGCUAACGCAUUAAGCGCCCCGCCUGGGGAGUACGC